UAAUGUCAACUCAUUCAUGCUAAGAUCUUCUACUGCACCUAUAUUAAUAUUCCUAACACCAUCGUUGGACGCUUUGUUUGCAUGAUUACUAGCUGACCAUUUCCUGUUAAUAUAAUUUUUUGGUUGCAUACCUGUAGCUGAAAAUUCUUCGAGGAAUGCAGGCGAUUUUAAGGCGUGGAGUCAGCCGGGUAAUUCCGUAAAUUCGCAGACGAUCUAUCCGUUAAAAGGACACCUGGUCGAUAAAUUCAAAAUAUUACAAACCAAUAUUUAUUGCAUUAUUCAACAAUUAUUAUUGUCAAAAUAUUGUCGUAUAUAACCUUACAUGAUCAAAUAUAAUAAUUGCAAAACAAAUCAUAAUCUAAACAAUGAACAUAUAGGCAAUUAC